rnacentral:rRNA from 1 species
UGCAGGCUGCAACUCGCCUGCAUGAAGCUGGAAUUGCUAGUAAUCGCGGAUCAGCAAGCCGCGGUGAAUACGUUCCCGGGCCUUGUACACACCGCCCGUCACACCAUGAGAGUUGGGAAUACCCGAAGCCUGUGAGCUAACUUAUAGAGGCAGCAGUCGAAGGUAGAAUCAAUGAUUGGGGUGAAGUCGUAACAAGGUAGC